UGCUGCGCGAGCAGUUUCUCGACAGUCUGGUUUUCCAGUCUGAUUUUUUACCCCUUCUGCAUAUGAGAAAUUCGGAGUAAUCUUCAUCCACUACCUCACUCGCCCUGCCCCCUCCGUGGGCGGGAUGAUUAGGUCUGCCCGUAAGGGUCCAGCUUGAACAAGCCCGCAAUUAGGCAUCAGAAAAGCAGGGGCCUGGCGCCUUCUGGGCCUGCUCCAGCAGGCUCGGGGGGGUCCGUCCAGUGCUUCCCUAUGGGAGAGCCGUUGCGAAGAUUGUGUGGGAACACUUGAGUGCGAUAUGCGGCGUGCUGUCCCUUUCGGGGGACGAGUACAAUUCGAUUCUGAUUACUCUGCUGAGGA
rnacentral:RNase_P_RNA from 2 species